CCCGCAUGUGGGAAUAACCAGUAUCCAUACCAGUAUUGGGAGCUGACAUCCAUCAGCCGGUGGUGCCGCCUCUUCCUGCGCCUUCUCCAGACGCAACCUGCCUUCACGUGUCAAAGGUAAAUCCACCGAAGGACUUUCAGUUUCAACACAUGGUGUAAGACAUCUGUUCUACCCCAGAACACACGACCGAAGGCAGAAGAGAAGAAACACACUUAUUGGUGACCUGGAAACCAGGGACGGGCGGUACGGCGGAAAUGAUCUUUACUCGUCAUGGAGGAGCGUCGGAGCUACUCGUCUUACGUGUGUUGAGAUUUGAGUCAUGGUUCUAACUUUAGAACAUCAACGAAUAACCCACAACAAACCCCUUGUAACAGGGUAAAACACCACGACACAACAGCGUCACUAAUAAUUGUACAUUUAUAAACAUUACCCCGCCGAAUUGCAUGCUGGGUACAGCUCACAGCAAGAAGUAACUCGCGAGGGAUACAGGCGGAACAACAACGAGAGACCAGAGCUGCACCCACACAACUUGUGCCCAACAGAGGAGCGGUGUCUGUUUCAGUUUUUUUGUUUGUUUCGCUAAAACGCUAACGAGCUAACAAGCUAACUCGCC
ensembl:lncRNA